UACGGAGGGGGCUAGCGUUGUUCGGAAUCAUUGGGCGUAAAGGGCGCGUAGGCGGCCGAUCAAGUCGGAGGUGAAAUCCCUCGGCUCAACUGAGGAAUUGCCUUCGAUACUGUUCGGCUUGAGUCCUGGAGAGGGUAGCGGAAUUCCCGGUGUAGCGGUGAAAUGCGUAGAGACGGGGAAGAACACCAGUGGCGAAGGCGGCUCACUGGCCCGGUACUGACGCUGAGGUGCGAAAGCGUGGGGAGCAAACAGG
rnacentral:rRNA from 1 species